rnacentral:rRNA from 1 species
GUGCAUGUUACUACCAUCUCCGACCUCAGAUCGGACGAGAUUACCCGCUGAAUUUAAGCAUAUAACUAAGCGGAGGAAAAGAAACUAACAAGGAUUUCCCCAGUAACGGCGAGUGAAGCGGAAAUAGCCCAGCACCGAAUCCCUCAGUGUCACGCUGACGGGAACUGUGGUGUAUGGGACGCCACCAGUCGCAUCAGUGGGCACCGAAGUCCUCCUGAUCGAGGCUUCACCCAGAGCGGGUGUAAGGCCUUUGCAGGUGCCCUACUGUGCGGCCGCGAGCGUCUCAGGAGUCGGGUUGUUUGGGAAUGCAGCCCAAAGCGGGUGGUAACUCCAUCUAA